rnacentral:rRNA from 1 species
AGAGUUUGAUCCUGGCUCAGAACGAACGCUGGCGGCAGGCCUAACACAUGCAAGUCGAGCGCCCGCAAGGGAGCGGCAGACGGGCGAGUAACGCGUGGGAACGUGCCCUUUGGUUCGGAAUAUUCCCGGGAAACUGGGAGCAAAACCGGAUAAGCCCUUCGGGGGAAAGUUUACGCCAAAGGAUCGGCCCGCGUUAGAUUAGGUAGUUGGUGGGGUAACGGCCUACCAAGCCUACGAUCUAUAGCUGAUCUGAGAGGAUGAUCAGCCACACUGGGACUGAGACACGGCCCAGACUCCUACGGGAGGCAGCAGUGGGGAAUCUUGGACAAUGGGCGCAAGCCUGAUCCAGCCAUGCCGCGUGGAUGACUGAAGGCCCUAGGGUUGUAAAGUCCUUUCGACGGGGACGAUAAUGACGGUACCCGUAGAAGAAGCCCCGGCUAACUUCGUGCCAGCAGCCGCGGUAAUACGAAGGGGGCUAGCGUUGUUCGGAUUUACUGGGCGUAAAGGGCGCGUAGGCGGAUUUUUAAGUCGGGGGUGAAAUCCCGGAGCUCAACUCCGGAACUGCCUUCGAUACUGGAAGUCUGGAGCACGGUAGAGGUGAGUGGAAUUCCGAGUGUAGCGGUGAAAUGCGUAGA